GGGCCGGUAGUUCAGCUCGGUAGAACGCUCCCAUGGCAUGGGAGACUGUAAAAGCUCAAUAGGCCUUGGGUUCAAAUCCCGACCGGUCCA
rnacentral:tRNA from 1 species